AUGGGGUGUGGCGCCUCGGUCCCCAACGGGAAGGGCCGGAAGCGCCGGAGCGUCGUACAGGAGGUCGCCGUGUUCAUCCCGACCAUCCGUGUCCCGGUGGCCACCGACGUGGUCCAACCGCUCAGGGGACUGGUUUCCAAGGAGCUCGUCGAUCGCCUCGCGACGCUCCGUUCCAACGUCGUCGCGCUGGCUGAAGAUAUCUAUCAUGGGGAUAUGUCGGCUGUCUCUGAACUGCAACGCGCCCUUGAGGAGUACCUGCCUGUUGUUCUUGGAUUAACAGCCAAAGAGAGCCGUCUUGAAGCAUCUGUGCAAUUCAGCUGGAGGACCAUAGACGAUGACCAGGAGUGCUGUCUCGCGAGCGCAUGGUACGAAGUACUUUCUGUUGUCCACAUGAUGGCGAUGCUUGCGCUGUUUGAGACAAACCUCAAACUCAUCCCGAGAGACGGCCAAAAUGGAGCUGAAAAGAAGGUAUCUGAAGAUUCAAAGAAGGAUGUUGUGGACUCAUUGCUCAGGGCAUCAGGGUGCUUAGACUACUCCGUGCAUCACAUACUUGUUCAAAUACCUGCACAAAUUAAGAAGAGUUUUCCUAGUUACCUGCAGGAAGGUAUGCUUGAGGCCAUCUCAAUUCAGUCUUUGGCUCAGUGUGUAGAGAUACAGCUAGGAUUGGCUUCUGAGUGUGAAAAGGCGACGUUGUCGGUGAAGAGGCGGCUAGCCUGCGAGCAAGUCAGCUAUUUUUCAAAGGCUCACUACUGUCUGUCAGGAUGCGACACGAGCGACUCGUAUGGGAAGAAGCUUCUGCUCUUCCUCAAGUGGAAAUGGAUGGACGCCAAGGCAGUAGCAUAUUACUACCAUGCUCUAGUGCUCGACAAGGGGAGCGAGCCGACCAACCAUAUAAGCGCGGUCUGCUGCCUCUCUGCAGCUGAUGACAUCCUUGCAGAGAGCAAGAGGGCUUGUCUGAGCUUUUGCCUGGCAAAUCCCAUCACAAGGGUGCCUCCUCCUUGGGGCAUCAUGAAGAACAUGCACAAGAAAAUUCCAGAUGUCGCGUACAAGAAAUUCCAAAUAUAUGGGCAUCUUUUCGAGCAAGACAAGAAAAGUGCCCUUCAAUCCUUGCCCGAUCUUCCGGAGUUUCCGCUGUCGCUGAGACCCGAAGACUACGAAUUUCCGGGCACCGAUUCGAUCUGGGAGAAUGUUGAUUGCCAACCCCAGAUUCAGAGCCUCAAGGAGCAUCUGGAGGACGACCCAGAAACAGAGGAUUCAAAAUAG
rnacentral:rRNA from 1 species